CCUCUACAAGUGUGACAUCAGCGGUCAUGGAGAGUCUCCAUCCAGCUGGAUCACUGUCACAGGUGAAACUCCAAUUAUCCACUGAGCUCUGCCCCAGUAUCUCUCCUGCAUUUUGACUUUACAACAAUGUGCUGACUGGUGUUGUUCUGUCCAUACUGACCUAUUAAUCCGUAAUCAAUAUCUGCCUCCAGUGAUAAACACAUCCACCAGUGGUGAGCAGGGAUUGGACAAGGAGGUUGAUGAUGUCACCCCAGAGCAUCACAGAGCAGUUAUGAACUGAAUCAAACCCAGUGCUGUGUGUUUAUCAGCUGUUUCCACUUUGCUUUUGUUUACAUGUUUUCUGAACCAGUUCAUAAACUUUUGACUCUACAUGUAUCAUCUGUUCUCAGCAAGACUUUGUUAUGAUCCAUGACCGCGUCCCAAAUUUGUUUAAAUCUUUAGCUCCUCCCAUUAGUGUGUGUGGUUGUGUGUGCACCGCUCUUUGCUGUUUGUUCUUAGAUGGAAUCAAUAGUUUUUGUAAAUAAAACACUUAACCAUUGUA